CGAGUGAAGCGGCAACAGCUCAAAUUUGAAAUCUGGCCCCCUGCGGGGUCCGAGUUGUAAUUUGCAGAGGGUGCUUUGGCGUCGGCGCCAGCCUAAGUUCCUUGGAACAGGACGUCACAGAGGGUGAGAAUCCCGUACGUGGCCGGCUGCCUUCGCCGUGUAAAGCCCCUUCGACGAGUCGAGUUGUUUGGGAAUGCAGCUCUAAAUGGGAGGUAAAUUCCUUCUAAAGCUAAAUACUGGCCAGAGACCGAUAGCGCACAAGUAGAGUGAUCGAAAGAUGAAAAGCACUUUGGAAAGAGAGUCAAAAAGCACGUGAAAUUGUUGAAAGGGAAGCGCUUGCAGCCAGACUUGCCUGUAGUUGCUCAUCCGGGCCCCGGCCCGGUGCACUCUUCUGCGGGCAGGCCAGCAUCAGUUUGGGCGGCCGGACAAAGGCCCCGGGAACGUAGCUCUCUCCGGGGAGUGUUAUAGCCCGGGGCGGAAUGCGGCCAGCCCGGACUGAGGUCCGCGCAUCUGCCAGGAUGCUGGCGUAAUGGCUGUAAGCGGCCCGUCUUGAAACACGGACCAAGGAGUCUAACAUCUAUGCGAGUGUUUGGGUGUCAAGCCCGGGCGCGCAAUGAAAGUGAACGCAGGUGGGACACCUCCCCCCGGGGGGGCUGCACCAUCGACCGAUCCUGAUGUCUUCGGAUGGAUUUGAGUAAGAGCAUAGCUGUUGGGACCCGAAAGAUGGUGAACUAUGCCUGAAUAGGGUGAAGCCAGAGGAAACUCUGGUGGAGGCUCGCAGCGGUUCUGACGUGCAAAUCGAUCGUCAAAUUUGGGCAUAGGGCGAAAGACUAAUCGA
rnacentral:rRNA from 1 species